rnacentral:rRNA from 1 species
GACGUAGGGGGCCAGCGUUGUUCGGAAUUACUGGGUGUAAAGGGUUCGUAGGCGGUGCGGCAAGUCGGGAGUGAAAUCUCUGGGCUUAACCCAGAGGCUGCUUCCGAAACUGCUGUGCUUGAGUGUGGGAGAGGCGCGUGGAAUUGCAGGUGUAGCGGUGAAAUGCGUAGAUAUCUGCAGGAACACCCGUGGCGAAAGCGGCGCGCUGGACCACUACUGACGCUGAGGAACGAAAGCGUGGGGAGCAAAAGGG